GAUGAACGCUGGCGGCGUGCUUAACACAUGCAAGUCGAACGGUGAAGCCAAGCUUGCUUGGUGGAUCAGUGGCGAACGGGUGAGUAACACGUGAGCAACCUGCCCUGGACUCUGGGAUAAGCGCUGGAAACGGCGUCUAAUACUGGAUAUGAGCCNCUAUCGCAUGGUGGGGGUUGGAAAGAUUUUUUGGUCUGGGAUGGGCUCGCGGCCUAUCAGCUUGUUGGUGAGGUAAUGGCUCACCAAGGCGUCGACGGGUAGCCGGCCUGAGAGGGUGACCGGCCACACUGGGACUGAGACACGGCCCAGACUCCUACGGGAGGCAGCAGUGGGGAAUAUUGCACAAUGGGCGAAAGCCUGAUGCAGCAACCGCCGCGUGAGGGAUGACGGCCUUCGGGUUGUAAACCUCUUUUAGCAGGGAAGAAGCGAAAGUGACGGUACCUGCAGAAAAAGCGCCGGCUAACUACGUGCCAGCAGCCGCGGUAAUACGUAGGGCGCAAGCGUUAUCCGGAAUUAUUGGGCGUAAAGAGCUCGUAGGCGGUUUGUCGCGUCUGCUGUGAAAUCCCGAGGCUCAACCUCGGGCCUGCAGUGGGUACGGGCAGACUAGAGUGCGGUAGGGGAGAUUGGAAUUCCUGGUGUAGCGGUGGAAUGCGCAGAUAUCAGGAGGAACACCGAUGGCGAAGGCAGAUCUCUGGGCCGUAACUGACGCUGAGGAGCGAAAGGGUGGGGAGCAAACAGGCUUAGAUACCCUGGUAGUCCACCCCGUAAACGUUGGGAACUAGUUGUGGGGACCAUUCCACGGUUUCCGUGACGCAGCUAACGCAUUAAGUUCCCCGCCUGGGGAGUACGGCCGCAAGGCUAAAACUCAAAGGAAUUGACGGGGACCCGCACAAGCGGCGGAGCAUGCGGAUUAAUUCGAUGCAACGCGAAGAACCUUACCAAGGCUUGACAUAUACGAGAACGGGCCAGAAAUGGUCAACUCUUUGGACACUCGUAAACAGGUGGUGCAUGGUUGUCGUCAGCUCGUGUCGUGAGAUGUUGGGUUAAGUCCCGCAACGAGCGCAACCCUCGUUCUAUGUUGCCAGCACGUAAUGGUGGGAACU
rnacentral:rRNA from 1 species